rnacentral:other from 1 species
CGAGUUCUGAGGUGUUCGUAAGGCUUAGUAAAAUUCAACCUACAAUAGACAUCCGGGAGAUUAUAUUUUUAUUUGGACGAAAAGCCGCCAUAGAGUGGACUUCGAAAUAAUAAAAUAUUUCACCCACCUUGCAGUGAGGAGAGGGUGUGAAUUUUGCAGCUGACGGCAUCUUGGAUAAACU